UUAUUAUUCUUUUAUAUUAUCGAUUUUUUAAUAAACUUAAAAUUUUUAAUUUCUUUUAUUUGAGUAUUUCGUAGUUUCCGUUGAGUGUGUAUGCUGGCGAUUUGACAUGUUUUCUUCCGCACCAAAACAUGAAACAAGUUUCGGAAAGAGACAGUGUUUGUAAAAGUGUUUUCUGUUGCGGUAAUGUUGGAAGCCGCUGGCCAAACGGUUGAAGGGCAGAUCAGGUCAGCUGACUUCUGAUUCCCACUUGGACAUCCGCAACAAUCAUUUUCCUUGAUGGUGUUCGACGUGUAUUUCCGGCAGCACCGCAUAGUGUCAACAUCCUGAAUCGCAAUAUAUGCUCCGGUGUUAGAUUCAACUUAGUUGGUUGAGCUGGUUGGACCACGAGAAACCGCCAGAGUAUGGAUCACCAGAAACCGACAGUACAGUGAAAUGAAUUCUUGCUUCAGAGCCACCAAGCGUCGUGACGAGGAGGGCGAAGAGGGUUUGUCACUACGAAUGAAAAAUGCCAAUCGUGUGCUCCAGGAAGAACAAGUGCAAGAGUUUCUUUUUAUGUAGAAUAAGUUAAUCUUAAUUUAUUUUGAAAUGAAACCUUCGAAUAUUUAAGGUAAAUGGUGAAAAAAAAAAUUUUACUAGUUCAGUUUAUUUUUUAAGAAAUGUAGUGAUUGUUUCCAAUUACAAAUUGUAAUGAUGUUUGGUAAGGAUGGCAGUAUUUUUUGCAUCUAACAAAAACUGUGAUUUUUUCUCUGUUAGAAAAAUUAAUUGUAAAACAUUAAAUUGUAUUGUAUUUCCAUUGUA